rnacentral:rRNA from 1 species
AGCUCCAAGAGUGUAUGCUAAUGUUGUUGCAGUUGAAAAGCUCGUAGUCGAUUCAUUUUCUUUCAAAAUGAAAAAAAGAGAGGGAUAUUUUUUCUUCUCUUUAGAAUUUUGAUUUGAAGAAUAAAAACAUAAUUAUUUUCUUUUUAGAUUUGAAUAUUUCUUAAUUGAAAUCAACAAUUUAAAGAAUUUUCAUAAGAAAAUAAUUUUUACUGUGAAAAAAACAAAAAGCUUAAAUUAAAAAGUAACCUCUUUUUCGGUUUUAACUAGUAUACAUUAGCAUGGGAUAAAAAAGAUUUGAAAAGAAAAAAUAUUUUUCUUUGGAUUUUUUGCUUGUUUCCAAAGAAAAAAAAAAUACGAUAAUUUCUUUUCAAAGGGAAUAGAGUUGUACGAUGCCAUCUGUAUUGUGGGGAGACAGGUGAAAUUGGUUGACCCUCGCAAGACAAACUGAAGCGCAGGCGUUUGGCAAGUUCAAGCUCA